ACUCCUACGGGAGGCAGCAGUGAGGAAUAUUGGUCAAUGGGCGCAAGCCUGAACCAGCCAUGCCGCGUGCAGGAUGACGGUCCUAUGUAUUAGUAACUUGCUUUGUACGGGAAGAAACACUCCUUCGUGAAGGAGCUUGACGGUACCGUAAGAAUAAGGAUCGGCUAACUCCGUGCCAGCAGCCGCGGUAAUACGGAGGAUCCAAGCGUUAUCCGGAAUCAUUGGGUUUAAAGGGUCCGUAGGCGGUUUUAUAAGUCAGUGGUGAAAUCCGGCAGCUCAACUGUCGAACUGCCAUUGAUACUGUAGAACUUGAAUUAUUGUGAAGUAACUAGAAUAUGUAGUGUAGCGGUGAAAUGCUUAGAGAUUACAUGGAAUACCAAUUGCGAAGGCAGGUUACUAACAAUAUAUUGACGCUGAUGGACGAAAGCGUGGGGAGCAAACAGGAUUAGAUACCCUGGUAGGAUAG
rnacentral:rRNA from 1 species